CCAGCAGCCGCGGUAAUUCCAGCUCCAAUAGCGUAUAUUUAAGUUGUUGCAGUUAAAAAGCUCGUAGUUGGAUUUCGGGUACGAUCCGGGCGGUCCGCCUCUGGUGUGCACUGCCGUGGUGUCUGCCUUUCUGUCGGGGACGGGCUCCUGGGCUUAACUGACCGGGACCCGGGUUCGACGAGGUUACUUUGAGUAAAUUAGAGUGUUCAAAGCAGGCGUUCGCCCUGAAUACAUUAGCAUGGAAUAGCACGAUAGGACUCUGGCCUAUUCUGCUGGUCUGUAGGACCGGAGUAAUGAUUAAGAGGGACAGUCGGGGGCAUUCGUAUUUCAUUGUCAGAGGUGAAAUUCUUGGAUUUAUGAAAG
rnacentral:rRNA from 1 species